UUGACCUCGGAUCAGGUAGGGAUACCCGCUGAACUUAAGCAUAUCAAUAAGCGGAGGAAAAGAAACCAACAGGGAUUGCCCUAGUAACGGCGAGUGAAGCGGCAACAGCUCAAAUUUGAAAUCUGGCUCUUUUAGAGUCCGAGUUGUAAUUUGCAGAGGGCGCUUUGGCUUUGGCAGCGGUCCAAGUUCCUUGGAACAGGACGUCACAGAGGGUGAGAAUCCCGUACGUGGUCGCUGGCUAUUGCCGUGUAAAGCCCCUUCGACGAGUCGAGUUGUUUGGGAAUGCAGCUCUAAAUGGGAGGUACAUUUCUUCUAAAGCUAAAUAUUGGCCAGAGACCGAUAGCGCACAAGUAGAGUGAUCGAAAGAUGAAAAGCACUUUGGAAAGAGAGUCAAACAGCACGUGAAAUUGUUGAAAGGGAAGCGCUUGCAGCCAGACUUGCUUGCAGUUGCUCAUCCGGGCUUUUGUCCGGUGCACUCUUCUGUAGGCAGGCCAGCAUCAGUUUGGGCGGUAGGAUAAAGGUCUCUGUCACGUACCUCCUCUCGGGGAGGCCUUAUAGGGGAGACGACAUACUACCAGCCUGGACUGAGGUC
rnacentral:rRNA from 1 species